CGGGGGGAGCAAGCGUUGUUCGGAUUUACUGGGCGUAAAGGGCGCGUAGGCGGCGCAACAAGUCACUUGUGAAAUCUCCGGGCUUAACCCGGAGCGGCCAAGUGAUACUGUCGUGCUGGAGUGCGGAAGGGGCUACUGGAAUUCUCGGUGUAGCGGUGAAAUGCGUAGAUAUCGAGAGGAACACCUGCGGCGAAGGCGGGUAGCUGGGCCGACACUGACGCUGAUGCGCGAAAGCCAGGGGAGCGAACGGGAUUAGAUACCCCCGGUAGUCCUGGCCUUAAACGAUGGAUACUUGGUGUCCGGGGUUACAUAGUCCCCGGGUGCCGGCGCUAACGCAUUAAGUAUCCCGCCUGGGGAGUACGGUCGCAAGACUG
rnacentral:rRNA from 1 species